AACGAACGCUGGCGGCAGGCCUAACACAUGCAAGUCGAACGCCCCGCAAGGGGAGUGGCAGACGGGUGAGUAACACGUGGGAACCUUCCCUGUAGUACGGAAUAGCCCAGGGAAACUUGGAGUAAUACCGUAUACGCCCGAAAGGGGAAAGAAUUUCGCUAUAGGAUGGGCCCGCGUAGGAUUAGCUAGUUGGUGAGGUAAUGGCUCACCAAGGCGACGAUCCUUAGCUGGUUUGAGAGAACGACCAGCCACACUGGGACUGAGACACGGCCCAGACUCCUACGGGAGGCAGCAGUGGGGAAUAUUGGACAAUGGGCGCAAGCCUGAUCCAGCCAUGCCGCGUGAGUGAUGAAGGCCUUAGGGUUGUAAAGCUCUUUUGGCGGGGACGAUAAUGACGGUACCCGCAGAAUAAGUCCCGGCUAACUUCGUGCCAGCCGCCGCCGUAAAAC
rnacentral:rRNA from 1 species